rnacentral:rRNA from 1 species
UACGUAGGGUGCGAGCGUUGUCCGGAAUUACUGGGCGUAAAGCGCACGUAGGCGGCUCUUUAAGUCGGAGGUGAAAUCCUGGAGCUCAACUCCAGAACUGCCUUCGAUACUGAAGAGCUCGAGUCCGGGAGAGGUGAGUGGAACUGCGAGUGUAGAGGUGAAAUUCGUAGAUAUUCGCAAGAACACCAGUGGCGAAGGCGGCUCACUGGCCCGGUACUGACGCUGAGGUGCGAAAGCGUGGGGAGCAAACAGG